GGGGGGAUUCCUGUACUAUUUACUCUGCCAUGUGCUGAAGACAGAAGUCAUAGUCCGUCUCGUCCAAGGGUACGGUUUAGUGGAAGAAACAGACACAUAGACAACUGCGGUGUAGACAAUGCAUAUGAGGAUAUUGCUGUUGGAGUCUGCCAGUUGUCUCAAGGAUUGUGCUGGGACAGCAGGACUUCCAUGACACCAAAUUCAAGCAGGUCAAGAUUCACUGAUGUGGCCAACUCUUCACUGGCACCUGCUUGCCCCUUCAAGCAUUUUGGAGCCAGCAGCGGUAUGGCAACACUAGAGCCAAAGAUUUACACCUGGACAUUAGCCCAAAGCAGAGGUUCUCACCUGUGUUCUGUGACCUCCGGGAGCCUCCUCCCGUGUACUGAGCAUAUUCUCUAGAGCCAUUACCAGAGGCAUCACCAUGUUCCGGACAGGCACAGACACUAUUGUGGUUACUGGACUGCCACCUUUAAUUGAGAGAUUACUGAAUCCUUAAUGGCUUCUCUUGUUAUUGAUUAAAUCAAUGGAUACCAAAGGACAGCUAUUAGCCCAUAUCUGGCAUAUAUUAGACUCUCAA